GACGAACGCUGGCGGCGUGCUUAACACAUGCAAGUCGAACGGUAAAAGAAUACCUGCCUCUUCUGCAAGAGUGGCAAACGGGUGAGUAACACGUGAGAAACCUGCCCCAGACCCUGGAAUAACCGCUGGAAACGGCGUCUAAUACCGGAUACGCGACAGAGCUGGAGGGCUACGGUCAGGAAAGUUUUUCGGUCUGGGAUGGACUCGCGGCCUAUCAGCUUGUUGGUGAGUGAACGGCUAACCAAGCCACCGACGGGUAGCCGGCCUGGGGGGGCGACCGGCCAAACUGGGACUGAGAAACGGCCCAGACUCCUACGGGAGGCAGCAGUGGGGAUUAUUGCACAAUGGGCGAAAGCCUAAUGCAGCGACGCCGCGUGAGGGAUGACGGCCUUCGGGUUGUAACCCUCUUUCAGCAGGGAAGAAGCGAAAGUGACGGUACCUGCAGAAGAAGCACCGGCUAACUACGUG
rnacentral:rRNA from 1 species